UUUGUGUGUCUCUGUACUUCCCCCCCCCCACCAACACCGAUUCUCACGCACGCGGCAUCCUCCCUCUCCCCCUCGCCGCCCUUUUCUCUUUCCCGAGCUCAACAAGCCUGCAGCCAUGGCGGCCAACUACCGAGAAGACCGCGAGAAGGACAAUGAGUUUAACAGCCGCCUUCGCGUAAACCUCUCUGCGAUCGAUGACAUCGACAAUGUGAAUCAGGCUGAUGACAAACCCGAUGAGGCUGCCGGGGAGGAGGGCCACUACGUCCACCCCGAUGCACGCGCGCUGUUCGAAAAGAUGCCGUGCCUGGAGCGCAUCCCGAUCUUUGGCAAGAGUUGCCAGGGCUACGGCCCUCGGUGCACCUUCUCUCUGGGCCUCGUGUACUUCCUGAAUAAGGGUGUCGGGUACAGCCUGAUCAACUACGCGUGUUUCUCUAUGUUCACCUCCCGCUUCGGCGUGUCGGGGGUGCGUUACCAGCGCCUGGCCAGCAUUGCCAAGCUGGGCUUCUCCAUCAAGGCCUUUGCCGCCAUGACGUCCGACUCGCUGGCGAUUUUCGGCUACACGAAGCGCUGGUACUGCGCGGCGGCCUGCAUCGUUGGCGCCGCCCUCACUGUAGGGUACGGCUGCCUGCCGAAGAAGGAGUCCAGCGCUGACAUCGCUGCCGGCUUCAUCUUUCUCACGAGCUUCUGCAUCGCGAACGUGGAUAUUCUCUCUGAGGGCCACUACAGCCGCCUCAUGCGCCGUCGCCCCGCGUCGGGCCCCUCCCUCAUCAGCUGGAUCUGGUGGUUCAUCCUGUCGGCGACCAUCGUCGGUGCCGUUAUCCAGGGACCGCUUUCGGACAAGGAACUACCUCAGGUGGGCCUGUUCAUUGCCGCUGCGACGCAGCUCCUCAGCGCUCUCUUCUUUGUGUGGAACUGGUAUGGCGAGGGGACGAACCGCGAGGAGCAGCUGGCAGAUGCUCUGACACUGAAGAGGGAACUGAACCGCGCGCUGCGGGAGCGCCAGCUGGUGUCGUCGUUCCGGGCCACGGGCAGCGGCAAGGAGGAGGACGGCAAGGCGGACUCCGGACUCGAUAAGCCCGUGUCGGCGGAGGCGGCUGCCUAUUACAACGCUGAGGGGGAGCUGAACGGCGACUUCGCGCUUGACACGCUGCACGACGGCGGGGAGACGGCCGAGGACGAGGCCCCCGCGCUGAACAUUGUGAGCUGCUGCGGCGGCAUCGUGGAGAUCAACAAGGGCGUCUGCAUGCGCAACUGGCGCAUCUUUGUGUACAGCUCACUGAUGGCGUGCUCGGUGAUCACCAUGAUGUGCGUCACCAUCCUGGGCACGCGCUGGCAACUGCUGUACUCCUGCAUCGCAGUGGUGUUGGCGUGUGGGGCUUGCGCCUUUUGGGCCCUGCCGUUUCUCAUCGCCAAGGUGAGCAUAUACUUCUUCAGCUACGCCUUUCUGUACCUGCAGCUACCCGGCGCGCUGGACAGCUUCUACAUGGCAUCGAAGGAGUGCUACCCGGAGGGCCCGCACUUCUCAUACGUCUUCUACAACACGAUCGGUGCCGUUAUUGGCAACCUGGCUGGUAUCGCGGCUGUCGCUGCGUUCCCGUACCUUUUCUCGAAGCACAGCCUCCGCUUCACGCUCAUGUUCACGUACUUCAUCCAGGUGCUCGCCUCCGCCUUCGACAUCAUCAUCGUGAAGCGCUGGAACCUAUACAUUGGCAUCCCGGAUCACGCCAUGUACCUCUUCGGCGACGCCAUUGUGUACGAGGUGAGCUACUACCUCGCCUGGAUGCCAACGGUGAUAUUGCUGUCCCGCAUCUGCCCACGCGGCUCCGAGAGCAUGGUGUACGCGCUGGUUGCCGGCUUCGGCAACCUGGGCGCCUCCAUGUCCAACACGGUGGGCUCCCUGCUGAUGGAGUUUAAGUGGCCCAUCACGACGAAGGGCGCGUGCGACUUCUCGAAUGUGCCGAUGCUGCUCUUGAUUGGUCACAUCCUGCUGCCGAUGCUGAUUGUGCCGCUGAGCUUUGUGCUGGUGCCGGCCGCGCGCAUCUGCGACGACAUCGACGUCAACGGCAACAUCAUCAAGCAAAAGGCGCGGUCGCUGCACCGCAAGCAGCGCCGCGAGCCUGGGGAGCCGAUUAACGAGUUGCCUCCAUAAAGGGUGAGUGUGCGAGGGCGACUGAAAGAGUGAGCGGCCACUUGCAGACAUCCCACUUCCUUCUCUCCCCCUCUCCCCCCCCUGCACACACACAGCGGCAUUGGUGAGAAGACGCGAGGGUAGCUACGGUGGGAAUGAAUAUGUGGGUGAGAGAUGGGGCUGGUAGAGGGUUUGGCUAGCGCAAGAAGUGAAGGUGCCGAGUGUGACGACGGUCUGUUUCCACUUCCGCCUACUUCUCCCUCACAGCGACCGCCAUCCUCGACAGCCCGUAGAAGACCACCGUCUGCCCGUCUGUCUGUGCCUCUGUCUAUCGCGUCAGACGCACGCACACACACACACACAAACACACACGCAUACACUCCCUCCUCCUCUUUUUUCUUUUUAUCUAUGCGCGUCAGCGCACCGAAGCUUCAAUUUUUUUUCCGUUUUCAGGACACUUCCUCUCCUCCCACUCCCUUCGCCCCAAUCCCCUCCCCUCCCCUCGCACUCUCCACGCCCGGGCAGACGAAGUUGCGUGCCUCCGAACGUCUUCUUUUCAUGCUCUUGUGGCCGCUAAAGGGGGAACUCACGAAUGUGGUCGUCGUCGUCACAGCCGUGCGCCAGCGACAGGAGCCGAAUGGUCGCAGCAAAGCCAGUCCGCUUCUAUGGAGGAGCAACGGCAGCCGCAGUCGCGGCAGGCGGGUGCAUUGGGUGUACCGAAUCGAAACUCUGCCGCAACGUGUGCCUUUUCGUCAUCCGUUCGAUGGCGACUCCCUCCUCCCGACCGUCGUCGGCACAGCGAACGCAGCGGCCCUGGUUUCCCUUUUGAAAGCAACAAGAGGAGGGGGAAGGUGAGGGGAGGAGGGCCACUGCGUCUCACGAGGCAAGAGGGAAGCCCACAUGAGAAUGAUAGAGGGGCGUGUGUAUGCACCAUGAUUGAGCGCGUUACGUAGAAUACACCUACACACGCUCACUCACUCUCGAAAACCCACUAGGCAAGAGGUGACCAGCAGUAACACCGCAGCAGCUGCAGCGAUCACCGGUAUCACCACCGCCACUGCACCCUUUCCUCCCUCCCUCAUCUUUUUCUUCGUUGUUUUCACCCUUUUUCUUGUUCAGCCUCUAGUGCUGUUUCUCUUUUCUCUGUACGGUGUGCACGCAGGUGUGUGUGUGUGUGCGUGUGCGCCUCUCUCUCUGUGCUUUCUUCCGCCGAUGACGACUGCUUGUUUUCUUAUUUUACGACUCUCCUUUUCAUCUUUCCAUCCCAUCACCCCCACGAACAUGCAUACGCACGCAUGUACCGGUCGCUUCUCCGUUUCGUUGCUUGUUCGUUAGACGGAACGACGCAUGACUGACUUGUGCACUUCUUCGCACCCACCCACCCCCUGCGCCGAACGAAGGGCGCGUCUCUUUCCCGCUUCAACGCGGCAUUCCACCACGAGCAAGCCGAUAAGUUUGCACACACACACAAAACUGCAGCUCAACUAUGUGGCACUGCGGCUACGUCCCUCUCAUCUAGGACGAGCUGUCCGCCGUUGCAUCGGUUUAUGCGUCUAGCGUGCUCCUCUCGUCCCUUCUUCGCAUACGUGUUGUGCGAGGGGCGCCAGAGGGUGACCUGGCUACACUGCGCGUUCCGAUUCAGGCGGGUCUCGUGCAGGGUCCUGCUCGAUGGCGGAAAGCGGUGGCGGGCGUCGUGCGGGUGGUAGGGGGUGGUCUAGGUGCAUGCGAGAUGAGCCUCAGGGAGAAUGUUGGCCAGCCUCGGGUCAGGGCCCUCUGAGGCACUGCAUCCUGCCUGUGUGCCAUGCUUCGACCUGGCUCGCUUAAAGUCGCGGCGUUCCACAGUAUGGUGCAGCGUCUCUUCGCAUGGGAGUCUAGGGAAGGGGUGGCUCGCUGUCUUCAUUUUGUCGUUUCCGUCGAUAUCGCCAGGGGAGGCGUCUCUGGAUGUCUUGCCCUCACCUUUCUCGACAGGCGGACGCUGCCAGGAGCCCGUGGCGGCAUGGGGCACUCCACCUUCUGCACCCACACGCCUGUCAAAGGCGUGUGAGUGUGUUGAUCUUUGUGGAGUCAGCGACACGAUUCCGUAGUGAGCUGGUACCAAUGCCAUCAUGACCGCACGUCUCUUCGGCAUACCGCCAGUCCAGACCUGUCCUGCGGACACCGGGAGCGCCUCCCCCCACGGAGAGCAGAUACGCGACCCUGAUUUCAGGGGGUGCGGUGACUGCGGCAUCAGGCGGGGGAGUGCGUGUGUUGUACACGUCGAACAGAAAAAAAAUUCGCCUCCCUCCCUCUUGUACUCCCCUCUAAUAUACAUUGACGUGUGUGGCGUGUGUCUCCGUUUUUCUUGCCCCCUUUUUCCCUUGUUGUCUUGUUCGAAGGCCACCGGCUGCUUAUGGUGAUGGUGCUGGCGGUCGCGGUGGGCUUGUCUCAGCGCCUGUCCACGGGUGCGUGUGUGUGGGUGCUGUCGGAGAGAGGGAAUGCGUGAGAGGCGGACGAACAAGGGAAGGGGGGGAGCUGAAGAGGGGAGGGGGGACGCAGAGACGGCUCGGGCCUUCGUUGCAGUUGCAUGAAUGCAACUCGCUGAUAGGGAAGAGCUGGCAGCAAGAGACUCAGACGCGCGCAGGCAUUGUGCCAUCUUAGGCGCGCUCUCUUGCCCCCCCCCCCCCCCCCCCCACACACACACACACACACUCCUCCUCUUAGCUGCUGUUUCUCCCUCCAAUGUUCUCCUCCUCCGCUCUCGACACAGCGACACCCCAUCGCGCAUACACACGCGGACAAGCUAGGAUGAGGGUUACUCUCACAUUCUAUUACAUAUGCGUAUGCGUGUGCCCGUGUGUGUGCCGGGCGUUAAUCGUCACGGUUAGUAUCGUAAGCACCUCUGUUGCCUUCAACGGCUUGUCGCUUCUCUUCUCUUGCCUUCUCUCAUGUCUUUCUCUCUUCUCUUGCUCCUCCCUUCUACGGCGCGUCUCUCUCUCUCUGCGUACGCAUGUAUGUGUGUAUGCAUAGAUACGUAUGGGGAAGGGUAGUCGCAUCCGCAUCAAUACAGGCCCCUCUCCCACCUCCUUCUCCCUCUUUAUACGCGCCUUUCGAUCUCGUGCUCUUCGUUGGCCUCCACCACCUUGGCACACGCACUGCGCGUACGUCUUGCUUCCCCCGUUGUCGCAUCUUCUCGCUUUACGCUUUUUGUGCUUGUCUUCCUACGGAACACCAUCAUCAACGGCCUACCACUUAUAUGUCUAUGCGCUGUGCCUCUGUGCCUGUCUACCUGCUUCAUCUGUCCGUGUGUGACGUGUGUCUGUGUGUGUGCCUCUCCUCCGUUGCACCCGAUAGCAUUUUUUUUGGUUGCUACCUCCCCACACCCUGCCCCUGCCCACGCGCGCGCCUGCAAGCGGGGAGGUAGAAGAAGGGUGACUAACGAGAGAGAGGCAUCGACCAUCCACACCCACGACUCCAGGAGUCUACGGGGAGAAACUUC
rnacentral:misc_RNA from 1 species